AACACGUGGGAAACCUGCCCAGAAGCGGGGGAUAACACCUGGAAACAGAUGCUAAUACCGCAUAACAACUUGGACCGCAUGGUCCGAGUUUGAAAGAUGGCUUCGGCUAUCACUUUUGGAUGGUCCCGCGGCGUAUUAGCUAGAUGGUGGGGUAACGGCUCACCAUGGCAAUGAUACGUAGCCGACCUGAGAGGGUAAUCGGCCACAUUGGGACUGAGACACGGCCCAAACUCCUACGGGAGGCAGCAGUAGGGAAUCUUCCACAAUGGACGAAAGUCUGAUGGAGCAACGCCGCGUGAGUGAAGAAGGGUUUCGGCUCGUAAAACUCUGUUGUUAAAGAAGAACAUAUCUGAGAGUAACUGUUCAGGUAUUGACGGUAUUUAACCAGAAAGCCACGGCUAACUACGUGCCAGCAGCCGCGGUAAUACGUAGGUGGCAAGCGUUGUCCGGAUUUAUUGGGCGUAAAGCGAGCGCAGGCGGUUUUUUAAGUCUGAUGUGAAAGCCUUCGGCUCAACCGAAGAAGUGCAUCGGAAACUGGGAAACUUGAGUGCAGAAGAGGACAGUGGAACUCCAUGUGUAGCGGUGAAAUGCGUAGAUAUAUGGAAGAGCACCAGUGGCGAACGCGGCUGUCUGGUCUGUAACUGACGCUGAGGCUCGAAAGUAUGGGUAGC
rnacentral:rRNA from 2 species